AUGAAUAAAACAAAAACAAAUCUCGUUUACAAAAAAAAAAAAAAACCAAAUCUUAUGAAACAAAUGCAUUCAAAAUACCAAACUACCUUUAUUUUUGGAAACAUAUUUAAACCCAAAACAACAAUUAAUACUAAAAACAAGAAAGUAAGAUAUUUUUUUCAAAUGGGAAAAUACGGACAUGGGUUUGACUAAUUUUACUAGCGGUUUCUUUCUUCUCCGGCCAUAGUUAGAUCGAUUAGUCUGGAACGGUCAAGAUUAUUACACGCUUUUUACUGUUUUCAGGAAAGUUUUUAUGUUCGAUGCACCAAUGAUAUACUGACAACUGGAAAGGUAUUACUGACUGGUCGGCUCUUUCUUAUGCUUUUGUUCUGCCAUUCUGUGGACCGACUCGUGCAACUUCU
rnacentral:lncRNA from 1 species